GGGCCCGUAGUUCAGUGGAUAGAACUCUCGGCUUCGGACCGGGUGACGAAGGUUCGAUUCCUUCCGGGCUCA
rnacentral:tRNA from 1 species